rnacentral:pre_miRNA from 1 species
AGGAACAACUGCAGUGGGGGGGGGGGGGCAGCUCUGCAGCCCUGAAUUCCGCCCCCCCAGGAACUCCCGGGUUCUCGGUCUGCAGGGCCUGGAUGUUCCGGGGGGGG